rnacentral:rRNA from 1 species
GACGAACGCUGGCGGCGUGCCUAAUACAUGCAAGUAGAACGCUGAAGAGAGGAGCUUACUCUUCUUGGAUGAGUUGCGAACGGGUGAGUAACGCGUAGGUAACCUGCCUUGUAGCGGGGGAUAACUAUUGGAAACGAUAGCUAAUACCGCAUAACAAUGGAUGACACAUGUCAUUUAUUUGAAAGGGGCAAUUGCUCCACUACAAGAUGGACCUGCGUUGUAUUAGCUAGUAGGUGAGGUAAUGGCUCACCUAGGCGACGAUACAUAGCCGACCUGAGAGGGUGAGAGGCCACACUGGGACUGAGACACGGCCCAGACUCCUACGGGAGGAAGCAGUAGGGAAUCUUCGGGAAUGGGGGCAACCCUGACCGAGCAACGACGCGUGAGUGAAGAAGGUUUUCGGAUCGUAAAGCUCUGUUGUAAGUCAAGAACGGGUGUGAGAGUGGAAAGUUCACAAUGUGACGGUAGCUGACCAGAAAGGGACGGCUAACUACGUG